rnacentral:rRNA from 1 species
CAUGCAAGUCGAGGGGCAGCAUUUACUUCGGUAAAUGGCGACCGGCGCACGCGUGAGUAACGCGUAUGCAACCUACCUUUAACUGGGGCAUACCUCGAGGAAACUCGAAUUAAUUCCCCAUAGUACAUUAUAAUAUCUCAUGAUAUAAAUGUUAAAGAUUUAUCGGUUAGAGAUGGGCAUGCGUCUGAUUAGUUUGUUGGUAAGGUAACGGCUUACCAAGACUACGAUCAGUAGGGGGUCUGAGAGGAUGAUCCCCCACACUGGUACUGAGACACGGACCAGACAUCUACGGAUGGCAGCAGUAAGGAAUAUUGGGCAAUGGGCGCAAGCCUGACCCAGCCAUGCCGCGUGCAGGAUGACGACCCUAUGGGUUGUAAACUGCUUUUAUAUAGGAAGAAAAUACUCUUGCGAGAGGAUCUGACGGUACUAUAUGAAUAAGGACCGGCUAACUCCGUGCCAGCAGCCGCGGUAAUACGGAGGGUUCAAGCGUUUUCCGGAUUUAUUGGGUUUAAAGAGUGCGUAGGUGGUUUAUUAAGUCAGUGGUGAAAUCCUGCAGCUCAACUGUAGAACUGCCAUUGAUACUGGUAAACUUGAGUUUGGUUUAGGUAAGCGGAAUUUAUGAUGUAGCGGUGAAAUGCAUAGAUAUCAUAAGGAACACCAAUAGCGAAGGCAGCUUACUGGACCACAACUGACACUGAGGCACGAAAGCGUGGGUAGCGAACAGGAUUAGAUACCCUUGUAGUCCACGCCGUAAACGAUGACUGCUAGGUGUCGGGUGGCAAAGCCAUUCGGUGCCGCAGCUAACGCAAUAAGCAGUCCACCUGGGGAGUACGUUCGCAAGAAUGAAACUCAAAUGAAUUGACGGGGACUCGCACAAGCAGUGGAGCAUGUGUUUAAUUCGAAGAUACGCGCAGAACCUUACAACGCUUGACAUGUUCGUCGCGAGACUAAGAGAUUAGACUUUCAGUUUGCUGGACGAAAACAGUGCUGCAUGGCUGUUCGUCAGCUCGUGUCGGGAAAUGUGGAUAAGUCCGCACCGAGCGCAACCCUACUUUUAGUUGCCACAUUACUGGACCUUAAAGACUGCAAUGAUAACUGGAGAAGAGGAUGAACGUC